ACCCAAAGCCGAACGUGGGGUGGGUGGGGAAGCCCAGGCGCAGUUCGAGACCUCGCGGACUCCGGGCUGAGACCCUGCCGGGUCGGAGCGUACAGACGGCCUCGUGCGCUGGAGCGGAAUAGGACUGAUGGUAGAAAACUUCCUCCUCACUUGUCCUGGGACGCUUUCCCCAAUCUUAUCACCCCUUCGCCUUGGCUGCGGUCCAAAGGCCAUAGCGCCAAGCGUGCCUCCGGUAACCUAGAGCGCGCGUCCGAGAGGCUUCUCCAAAGGCGGAGCGAGGGAACUGCGCGGAGCCAGAGCCAGCUGGGUCUCGACCCCAACCGCACCGAGGACACGGCUAGCUAUACAAUGAGAGAUUAGUUGCUGUUGAAGGUGCUCCUCCAAUGAAAUCGUCUCUGCUCUCUGAUUUGGCAGUUCUUCCGAGCAAAUAUGACAGCCUUUUCUCAAGGCUCCUUUCCGUUCCUCUCCACGUCCAUCCCUAGAGAUCGACUCUCCAACUGCAAUUUCUACUUCAGAACCUAUAUAAUUACCAUCACCACCCAGUCCCAUUCCUGCAAGUUUAUGAAUGCUGGAAAGGUGACUUGAUAUAUUGGGAAGAACUCGAUGUUGCUUUUUGAUUCCCGAAGAUAUUUGAGCCCAGUUUUUUCCAGGUGGGGAAAUGUUAGAAUAAAUCCACUAAGCUUUGUAAAUAUAUAAUCGUGCUGAACUCUUCAUGGAUUGUU
rnacentral:lncRNA from 1 species